rnacentral:rRNA from 1 species
GACGAACGCUGGCGGCGUGCCUAAUACAUGCAAGUAGAACGCUGAAGAGAGGAGCUUGCUCUUCUUGGAUGAGUUGCGAACGGGUGAGUAACGCGUAGGUAACCUGCCUGGUAGCGGGGGAUAACUAUUGGAAACGAUAGCUAAUACCGCAUAAAAUGGAUUAUCGCAUGAUAAUCCAUUGAAAGGUGCAAAUGCAUCACUACCAGAUGGACCUGCGUUGUAUUAGCUAGUUGGUGGGGUAACGGCUCACCAAGGCGACGAUACAUAGCCGACCUGAGAGGGUGAUCGGCCACACUGGGACUGAGACACGGCCCAGACUCCUACGGGAGGCAGCAGUAGGGAAUCUUCGGCAAUGGACGGAAGUCUGACCGAGCAACGCCGCGUGAGUGAAGAAGAUUUUCGGAUCGUAAAGCUCUGUUGUAAGAGAAGAACGAGUGUGAGAGUGGAAAGUUCACACUGUGACGGUAUCUUACCAGAAAGGGACGGCUAACUACGUG